AGCACCGCAUGGUAUCUGCAGCCAGUCGGUUUGUCUUCUGGUUUGUUCAAAAGUCGGUGCGAGACUAAAUUCGGCAUUUGGCAUCGUUGGUCUCCAUGUUUUUGUGUGUGGAGUCCUGGUAAUGAUGGCUGAGACAUAA